rnacentral:rRNA from 1 species
UACGUAGGGGGCAAGCGUUGUCCGGAUUCAUUGGGCGUAAAGAGCGUGUAGGCGGCCAGGUAGGUCGGUUGUGAAAACUGGAGGCUCAACCUUCAGAGGUCGACCGAAACCAUCUGGCUAGAGUCCGGGAGAGGAAAGUGGAAUUCCCGGUGUAGUGGUGAUAUGCGUAGAUAUCGGGAGGAACACCUGUGGCGAAGGCGGCUUUCUGGGCCUUACCUGACGCUGAGACGCGAAAGCGUGGGGAGCGAACCGG